GACGAACGCUGGCGGCGUGCUUAACACAUGCAAGUCGAACGGAAAGGCCCUGCUUUUGUGGGGUGCUCGAGUGGCGAACGGGUGAGUAACACGUGAGUAACCUGCCCUUGACUUUGGGAUAACUUCAGGAAACUGGGGCUAAUACCGGAUAGGAGCUCCUGCUGCAUGGUGGGGGUUGGAAAGUUUCGGCGGUUGGGGAUGGACUCGCGGCUUAUGAGCUUGUUGGUGGGGUAGUGGCUUACCAAGGCUUUGACGGGUAGCCGGCCUGAGAGGGUGACCGGCCACACGGGAGGUGAGACACCGUCUAGGCGACUAAGGGAGGCCGCAGUCGGGAAUGGGGGACAAUGGGCGGAAGUCUGAUACAGCGGGAGCGCGUGGGUGCAGAAGGCCCUCGGGGUGUAAAGCCCGUUUGGUGGGAAAGAAACGCAUCCGGUUGAGACAAAGCUGUGGUGACGGUAAUGAAAAAAUAAGCACCGGCUAACUUCGUG
rnacentral:rRNA from 1 species